rnacentral:rRNA from 1 species
GAUGAACGCCGGCGGCGUGCCUAAUACGUGCAAGUCGAGCGAACGGACGAGAAGCUUGCUUCUCUGAUGUUAGCGGCGGACGGGUGAGUAACACGUGGAUAACCUACCUAUAAGACUGGGAUAACUUCGGGAAACCGGAGCUAAUACCGGAUAAUAUUUUGAACCGCAUGGUUCAAAAGUGAAAGACGGUCUUGCUGUCACUUAUAGAUGGAUCCGCGCUGCAUUAGCUAGUUGGUAAGGUAACGGCUUACCAAGGCAACGAUGCAUAGCCGACCUGAGAGGGUGAUCGGCCACACUGGAACUGAAGCACGGUCCAGACUCCUACGGGAGGCAGCAGUAGGGAAUCUUCCGCAAUGGGCGAAAGCCUGACGGAGCAACGCCGCGUGAGUGAUGAAGGUCUUCGGAUCGUAAAACUCUGUUAUUAGGGAAGAACAUAUGUGUAAGUAACUGUGCACAUCUUGACGGUACCUAAUCAGAAAGCCACGGCUAACUACGUG